rnacentral:rRNA from 1 species
ACCUCCCACCCGUGUUUACUGUAACCUUAGUUGCUUCGGCGGGCCCGCCUUUAAGGCCGCCGGGGGGCAUCAGCCCCCGGGCCCGCGCCCGCCGGAGACACCACGAACUCUGUCUGAUCUAGUGAAGUCUGAGUUGAUUGUAUCGCAAUCAGUUAAAACUUUCAACAAUGGAUCUCUUGGUUCCGGCAUCGAUGAAGAACGCAGCGAAAUGCGAUAACUAGUGUGAAUUGCAGAAUUCCGUGAAUCAUCGAGUCUUUGAACGCACAUUGCGCCCCCUGGUAUUCCGGGGGGCAUGCCUGUCCGAGCGUCAUUGCUGCCCAUCAAGCACGGCUUGUGUGUUGGGUCGUCGUCCCCUCUUCGGGGGGGACGGGCCCCAAAGGCAGCGGCGGCACCGCGUCCGAUCCUCGAGCGUAUGGGGCUUUGUCACCCGCUCUGUAGGCCCGGCCGGCGCUUGCCGAACGCAAAACAACCAUUCUUUCCAGGUUGACCUCGGAUCAGGUAGGGAUACCCGCUGAACUUAAGCAUAUCAAUAAGCGGAGGAA